rnacentral:rRNA from 1 species
UACGGGGGGGGCAAGCGUUGUUCGGAAUUACUGGGCGUAAAGGGCUCGUAGGCGGCCAACUAAGUCGGAUGUGAAAUCCCCAGGCUUAACCUGGGAACUGCAUCCGAUACUGGAUGGCUUGAAUCCGGGAGAGGGAUGCAGAAUUCCAGGUGUAGCGGUGAAAUGCGUAGAUAUCUGGAGGAAUACCGGUGGCGAAGGCGGCAUCCUGGACCGGCAUUGACGCUGAGGAGCGAAAGCUAAGGGAGCAAACGGG